rnacentral:rRNA from 1 species
UACGGAGGGUGCAAGCGUUAUCCGGAUUCACUGGGUUUAAAGGGUGCGUAGGCGGGCAGGUAAGUCAGUGGUGAAAUCCUUGAGCUUAACUCGAGAACUGCCAUUGAUACUAUCUGUCUUGAAUAUUGUGGAGGUAAGCGGAAUAUGUCAUGUAGCGGUGAAAAUGCUUAGAUAUGACAUAGAACACCUAUUGCGAAGGCAGCUUACUACGCAUAUAUUGACGCUGAGGCACGAAAGCGUGGGGGAUCAAACAGG